GUCCUGAUGAGAACCAGUUUCAUCAUUGUGUUUUCAAUGGUAAUUCGGACUGCACUUAAGGAUAGUUUAAAUGUUUAUAGAUCUUUGGGAUAUUUUCUUUACUUAGUUGAGUAGUUCUUGCUAUAAUAUAGAUUGGAACAUUACUCAAGUAUGGCUAUUCACUGUAUACCAACUUUACCUCUAUACAACUUUACUACUGAUGCUCUCAAACACAUUAAAAGGGCAAGAAAUUCAAGAAAUUAACUCUAAAUGCUCUUCUAAGGAACACAAUUCUAAUUCCUGUGGGAUCCGGAUUUGGCACCAAUGAAGACCCAGCCUCCAACACUGAGGCCAAACAGCCUUUGGAGAAUGACUACACACUGAUGGUCUUCAGCCCUGUUCUGUAUUGCAUGGUAGUUAUAUCACUCGUUUGUCCUCUUCAGUCCUUCAACCCAGUGGACGUUUCA
rnacentral:lncRNA from 1 species